UACGUAGGGGGCGAGCGUUGUCCGGAUUCAUUGGGCGUAAAGAGCUCGUAGGCGGUUUGGUAAGUCGGGUGUGAAAACCCCAGGCUCAACCUGGGGACGCCACCUGAUACUGCUAUGACUUGAGUCUGGUAGGGGACCACGGAAUUCCUGGUGCAGCGGUGAAAUGCGCAGAUAUCAGGAGGAACACCGGUGGCGAAGGCGGCUACCUGGAUUGACACUGACACUGAGGCGCGAGAGCGUGGGGAGCAAACAGG
rnacentral:rRNA from 1 species